GCUGAAAAUAGGAAACAGACUAGGUAAAAGUUCUGAAAAAAGGAAUGCCAAAAUGUCACAUCUUGUAUCUUUAUGCUAUUUAUUAAUUUACCCAAUCUUUACUGUAUCUACGGAUUGGUCCUCUGUUCACGAGCCUAUCGAGCCAAACACCCUUAUGCUCAAGCUUGGCUCGAAUUUCUAAACAAACAAUCAAAAGUGAUUGAGUUUGGCUUGUAUUUCUAGUGAACAAGUUUGAACGAGCCAAGAGUUGUGCCAAGCUCGAGCUGUUUGGUUUGUUCAGCAGCCCUAGUUGUGCUGCUGCCGAACAUGAGUUGGAAAAGGGAGAAAAAAUGUGUUUAACUUCAACCUCUUUCCAAUAAUCAUAGUUUCUUUUUCUAGGGCACUCACAUAAAGGAACAUUUAUAGAAUACCGAAAUACCAAUAUUUCCAACAAAGACAUCGAAACACGCCAAAAUAGACUGCAACAUAUCAAAAUCAUGACACUUACUGAAAAAGAAAGAAAACAACGUAAAGCAAAACAAAACGACAUCCUUAGCAGGAAAACAAAGAGCUCUUUAGGCAAAAGAAGAGAGCCAAGGAAGGAUUAGACUAGCUUCCUUCAAGUAGCAAUCCAAUGAUUGCAAGAGUUUGCCUUACACCUAGUAUUGAUAGACCUCAAGCUAAUCAAUUAGGUAAUCAUUGAACAUGCAUUAACAUUUAUAGGUUCUAGUUUUGUCUCCAAACACAAUCCAUUUCGAUACCAAAUUCUUUCAUUCUUUCCUUACCCUUCCGAAAAGUUUCCCUUUCCGAGCUAACAGAAAAGAAAUGAUCGUCGAGUCUACCAUAGUCCUAAGUGCGCUGUCUGUGUACUUUUAGAUUGAUUUCCACAUUGACUGCUGGUGGCAUGAUAGGACAAUGGUAGAAGUCAUUAAAUCCUCUCUUCACAAUUUACCAUAACAAUAUGCUUUGGAGGGGUCUAAUUUGCAUGAUCAAAAGAUUUGAAAAGCCACUAUCAAACGCAUUCAAACAAGCACUGAAGGACCAGAGCAGUACAGAAAGACAAUAUGACACACAACCCAGCUCAAUUAAAACCAUAAACCACACCAUUUCAAAAGUUCUGCUCCAUAUCCAUUUGGGGUGUUUGGCGUAAAGGUCCAAAGUAGAUUCUAUAUUGAUUCUAACGUGCAAUAAGAUAUUUUUUACUCCUUAUCUUUUACUUAUGCAGAGCACACACAUGCACAUCAAAGAUUCUGGCCAUAAUUUUACCAUAAUGGCCCAUAUCGUAGCAAACCGUUACCACCGUUACAUAUAGACCAAUACCGUUACGUAUCUGCCAGUACCCUUACAUAUCACCAAAUUUCAAACCAUCUCUAUUUAUUGUUCGGUCUUUUUUUUGGUAUUGCCGGCUUUUUGGCCUUUUGUUCUUCGCUAUAAUUUGUACACGGGUGGCAUCCACUAUGCCUUUCCAAUUAAGUCGUUACUUAAUCAAAAAUAACAACAUAUAAACCAUAAUAAAACAAAGUCAACGAGAUUGAGCGAGAGUGUUACCGAGGAAAGAAGGGGAAGAAGAACCAGAAGUGAACAGAGAAUCAAGGGGCUCAGUACAACAAGAAAACCUUUCGCUUCGGAGCAAGACCGGAUUGGUACUAUUCGAUCCACCACCGCAGACCAAGCUCCGACACGCCAUAGCUGCUGCUGCCGCGACAAAUCCAGAAACGGGUUUCUUCUCUUUUCGCCCGAUGAUUAGGUCCUUAGGCUUAUCUUUUGUUGGGUAAAAUUCAGAUCUUGUGACGGAAGAAGCUGGUUAUGAUGAUCUCUGUGAUGUGGGAAGUGUAGGAGCAUCGGCUGCUGCACACAGCCAUCAUCAAGAGGACUCAGGAGCCAACGGAGAGGCACGCGGGUUGAUUGAUCGGAGAAGAUGUUGUGAUUUCGGAGGAGACUUUUACGAGGGUUGAAUACGGCAGCAGUUCCGAAUCUGCCGGCAAGCGAGAGAGAGAGAGUAUUCUCUUUCUUCUUCUCUUCUUCUUCUGGUGAAAAGAGGAUGAAAA